GGCGUCAAUGCACACGCCAUCAUUUCGGCAGUCUGCGCCUAUAUGCGAAAGUAUAUACGUGACUGUCAAGUUUACCUUAAAUAAAUUAAAAUGCUCAAAAUAAGCGUAUGCUUGAAUAUCAUAUUAUGGAAUAAUGAAAUAGGACUUCGGUUCUUUUUGUUGGUUAUUGAAUCGGAGUAAUGAUUAAUAGGGAUAAUCUCGGGGGCAUUCGUAUUUCUGCGGGAGAGGUGAAAUUCUAUGAUCGCAGAAGGACGCCCUAAAGCGAAAGCAUUUGCCAAGAAUGUCUUCGUUAAUCAAGAACGAAAGUCAGAGGAUCGAAGGCGAUUAGAUACCGCCCUAGUUCUGACCGUAAACGAUACCAUCUAGCGAUCCGAUAGGGUCUAUCUAGCCUUGUCGGGGAGCUUCCCGGAAACGAAAGUCUUUCGGUUCCGGGGGUAGUAUGGUUGCAAAGCUGAAACUUAAAGAAAUUGACGGAAGGGCACCACCAGGAGUGGAGCUUGCGGCUUAAUUUGACUCAACACGGGAAAACUCACCCGGUCCGGACACCGUAAGGAUUGACAGACUGAUAGCUCUUUCUUGAUUCGGUGGUUGGUGGUGCAUGGCCGUUCUUAGUUGGUGGAGUAAUUUGUCUGGUUUAUUCCGAUAACGAGCGAGACUCUAGCCUGCUAAAUAGAACGAGGAUAAACCUUUUCAUAGGUCCUCGAUGCUUCUUAGAGGAAUUAGCGG
rnacentral:rRNA from 1 species